AUGUGCGCAAACUUAACGCCCGCAGCACCACAAUCUCUUGGUCGCUGCCGAACUGAUGGACUAGAAGCACAUGGCCGGAGUGGCAUGUGCGCCGUCGUCACCUCCUCAAAUCACGCGGCACCGGCGUACUUUAUGGCGGCCGGAACGCCGGCGUACAACCACACAUCAUGUUUUCCGGCGCUUCCCAGCCUAAUGGACGACGAGCAAGUGCGGCUUCCAUGCCGCGCUUUACCGCCAUCCCCUUUUUUUUCAUGGCCAACGGCAAUUCACCUCCACCAGCUCCACAAAAAAGACCACGCGCACGACGCGGAGAGGGCGAGUUCGACGACGCCGCGCGCACCGUCUCGUCGAUGCACGCGCGCGCCGGCGAACAAGCCCACCGCGUCGCCGUGGUGA
rnacentral:rRNA from 1 species